UACGUAGGGGGCAAGCGUUGUCCGGAUUUAUUGGGCGUAAAGAGCGUGUAGGCGGCCGUACAGGUCAGCUGUGAAAACUCGAGGCUCAACCUCGAGACGUCGGUUGAAACCGUACGGCUAGAGUCCGGAAGAGGAGAGUGGAAUUCCCGGUGUAGCGGUGAAAUGCGCAGAUAUCGGGAAGAACACCCGUGGCGAAGGCGGUUCUCUGGGACGGUACUGACGCUGAGACGCGAAAGCGUGGGGAGCAAACAGG
rnacentral:rRNA from 1 species